AUACCUCGGAGAGUUUGAUCCUGGCUCAGGACGAACG
rnacentral:rRNA from 1 species